GUUUUAAGGUCCUUCCCCUCCUGCCAUACAGUAUCUUUUGCUGUUGCUUUUUGGUUUUAUUUUGUUUUGCAAAACAGGGGAACAGUGACUUAAGGACUCUGCUUUCUGCCUGUGCCAGACAGCCACAAUAUGUGAUCAUUUAACACAUGGGUCUUAAGUUCAUUCUUGCUGCAACAGAAGGCCAUUGUACUUCCUGACCCUGAAAGCAAGAUGAAGUAACUGAGACACCAAAGGUUAAUUGCU